GUGACUAUUGGUAAACGCUGGAAAGACGCGCAAACCAGAUAUAAACAACAGAGCAUGUGCCCAGCUGCCUACGAUCCAAGAACCAGAGUCAGGGGCCUGUGCUGAGCCUGCAAUCACUGCAAUUGGUGAACAAAGUGAAGGACAAAUACCUGUAUUAAAAAGCAAUCGCCUUUCCUUACCUACGUUGAAUGAUGCAGAAUUCCCGGGAUCGUAUGACUCAGGUAUUGACACCAUCCCUAAAAGCUUCCAACAAGAACGCAUGGACCUGGUGCCCUGGCCUGUGAGCAAUGAAUAUAUCAUGCAAUGAUGUGUACUCUAACUGAGAUACAGUAAGAUAAUCGUCUUGUAAGAGGCCAACGGAAAAACGCUAAAAACGUUGAAAUUCAAGUCCAGGCAGAUUGGUUAGUUUCUAAGGCGAGAUUGCUGUUUGAUAUCUCAAAUGAGCGAGAUUCAUAACCAGCUAUACAAUUUUCAGACAACUUUUAAAAGUUAAAACUGUAUAGUUUUAGUUAAUUGGUGAUACAUAUUAUAAGAGUACCUGGGGCGGAUCCAGGAUUAUUU